GAAGAUCUCAUAAAGAAGGCUUAGAAACGUAACGUGGCUUUUCAGACAGACAAGGCGUCAGUGCCGAUGGGCUUUGAUUUCAUUAGCAAAUGGAGGACGGACUAACAGUGCCACCUGGUGUAAGAUGCCGAGUACUCUCUGAUGUGUCCCGGAACAGUGCGGAUUUUUCUCUUCUUGUCUUCUGGAAAGUGAAUCUGCAAAGUAGAGUUUCCCAGAGUCCUGUUUUGCAAUGGAAGCUGUGGAGGCACUAUUUAUGGAGGUAUUCAAGGCCAUGCUGGAUGAAGCUCUGGACAGUCCAGUGAGAAGCGUCCCUGCCCAUGGCAGGAGGGAUGGAGAUUAUACCCAUCAGAAUGGAGAAAGAAAGGGAGAACAGGAGGGAGUGAGCCAG